AUUAAAAACUGUAUUGAUCCCACUUGGAGAUCGUUGGUACUUGGAUGGGAGACUGCCUGAGAAUAACAGGUGUUGUAAGCU
rnacentral:rRNA from 1 species